CUCAGGACGAACGCUGGCGGCGUGCCUAAUACAUGCAAGUCGAACGCUUCUUUCCUCCCGAGUGCUUGCRCUCAAUUGGAAAGAGGAGUGGCGGACGGGUGAGUAACACGUGGGUAACCUACCCAUCAGAGGGGGAUAACACUUGGAAACAGGUGCUAAUACCGCAUAACAGUUUAUGCCGCAUGGCAUAAGAGUGAAAGGCGCUUUCGGGUGUCGCUGAUGGAUGGACCCGCGGUGCAUUAGCUAGUUGGUGAGGUAACGGCUCACCAAGGCCACGAUGCAUAGCCGACCUGAGAGGGUGAUCGGCCACACUGGGACUGAGACACGGCCCAGACUCCUACGGGAGGCAGCAGUAGGGAAUCUUCGGCAAUGGACGAAAGUCUGACCGAGCAACGCCGCGUGAGUGAAGAAGGUUUUCGGAUCGUAAAACUCUGUUGUUAGAGAAGAACAAGGACGUUAGUAACUGAACGUCCCCUGACGGUAUCUAACCAGAAAGCCACGGCUAACUACGUGCCAGCAGCCGCGGUAAUACGUAGGUGGCAAGCGUUGUCCGGAUUUAUUGGGCGUAAAGCGAGCGCAGGCGGUUUCUUAAGUCUGAUGUGAAAGCCCCCGGCUCAACCGGGGAGGGUCAUUGGAAACUGGGAGACUUGAGUGCAGAAGAGGAGAGUGGAAUUCCAUGUGUAGCGGUGAAAUGCGUAGAUAUAUGGAGGAACACCAGUGGCGAAGGCGGCUCUCUGGUCUGUAACUGACGCUGAGGCUCGAAAGCGUGGGGAGCAAACAGGAUUAGAUACCCUG
rnacentral:rRNA from 1 species